UACGGAGGAUGCAAGCGUUAUCCGGAAUGCUUGGGCGUAAAGCGUCCGCAGGUGGCAAUGUAAGUCUGCUGUCAAAGCGUCUGGCUCAACCAGAUAAAGGCAGUGGAAACUACAUAGCUAGAGUAAGGUAGGGGUAGAGGGAAUUCCUGGUGUAGCGGUGAAAUGCGUAGAGAUCAGGAAGAACACCGGUGGCGAAGGCGGUUCUCUGGGCCUUACCUGACGCUGAGGAGCGAAAGCAUGGGGAGCAAACAGG
rnacentral:rRNA from 1 species